rnacentral:rRNA from 1 species
AACCCGCGGAAACGCGGCCUAAUACCCCGUGACGCCACCGGAGGGCAUCCUCCGGUGGCCAAAGGAGCGAUCCGGUGGCGGAUGGGCAUGCGGCGCAUUAGCUAGACGGCGGGGUGACGGCCCACCGUGGCGACGAUGCGUAGGGGUUCUGAGAGGAAGGCCCCCCACACUGGGACUGAGACACGGCCCAGACUCCUACGGGAGGCAGCAGUGAGGAAUAUUGGUCGAUGGGCGGAAGCCUGAACCAGCCAAGUCGCGUGAGGGAUUAAGGCCCUGCGGGUCGUAAACCUCUUUUGCCGGGGAGCAGUGGUCCGGACGCGUCCGGGCCGGGAGAGUACCCGGAGAAAAAGCAUCGGCUAACUCCGUGCCAGCAGCCGCGGUAAUACGGAGGAUGCGAGCGUUAUCCGGAUUUAUUGGGUUUAAAGGGUGCGUAGGCGGGCAUUUAAGCCGGCGGUCAAAUGUCGGGGCUCAACCCCGGCCUGCCGUCGGAACUGGGUGCCUUGAGUGGGCGAGAAGUAUGCGGAAUGCGUGGUGUAGCGGUGAAAUGCAUAGAUAUCACGCAGAACCCCGAUUGCGAAGGCAGCAUACCGGCGCCCUACAGACGCUGAGGCAACGAAGUGCGGGUAUCGAACAGGAUUAGAUACCCUGGUAGUCCGCACAGUAAACGA